UACGAAGGGGGGCUAGCGUUGCUCGGAAUUACUGGGCGUAAAGCGCACGUAGGCGGCUUGUUAAGUCGGAGGUGAAAUCCUGGAGCUCAACUCCAGAACUGCCUUCGAUACUGGCGAGCUUGAGUUCGGGAGAGGUGAGUGGAACUGCGAGUGUAGAGGUGAAAUUCGUAGAUAUUCGCAAGAACACCAGUGGCGGAAGGCGGCCUUCUGGACAGUGACUGACGCUGAGACGCGAAAGCGUGGGGAGCAAACAGGG
rnacentral:rRNA from 1 species